rnacentral:rRNA from 1 species
UACGUAGGGUGCAAGCGUUACUCGGAAUUACUGGGCGUAAAGCGUGCGCAGGCGGUUAUUUAAGACAGUUGUGAAAGCCCCGGGCUCAACCUGGGAAUUGCAUUCGAGACUGUGUAGCUAGGGUGCGGAAGAGGGAAGCGGAAUUUCCGGUGUAGCGGUGAAAUGCGUAGAUAUCGGAAGGAACACCAGUGGCGAAAGCGGCUUCCUGGUCCAGCACCGACGUUCAGGCACGAAAGCGUGGGGAGCAAACAGG